AAUAGAUACCCAGGUAGUCCACGCCGUAAACGAUGAGUGCUAAGUGUUAGAGGGUUUCCGCCCUUUAGUGCUGAAGUUAACGCAUUAAGCACUCCGCCUGGGGAGUACGGCCGCAAGGCUGAAACUCAAAGGAAUUGACGGGGGCCCGCACAAGCGGUGGAGCAUGUGGUUUAAUUCGAAGCAACGCGAAGAACCUUACCAGGUCUUGACAUCCUCUGACAACCCUAGAGAUAGGGCUUCCCCUUCGGGGGCAGAGUGACAGGUGGUGCAUGGUUGUCGUCAGCUCGUGUCGUGAGAUGUUGGGUUAAGUCCCGCAACGAGCGCAACCCUUGAUCUUAGUUGCCAUCAUUAAGUUGGGCACUCUAAGGUGACUGCCGGUGACAAACCGGAGGAAGGUGGGGAUGACGUCAAAUCAUCAUGCCCCUUAUGACCUGGGCUACACACGUGCUACAAUGGACGGUACAAAGAGUCGCAAGACCGCGAGGUGGAGCUAAUCUCAUAAAACCGUUCUCAGUUCGGAUUGUAGGCUGCAACUCG
rnacentral:rRNA from 1 species